CUCCCACCCGGAUGCACUCGCAACUUCCCGAGCAUGAGAGAACAUGGCUGCGAUUCACACCUCUGGAGAGCUGUCCGUGUUCACGGGGAAACUCGUUUUUCGGCUCAGUCGGAGGGAGAACCCAGCCAAGCACCCGCGCCCGAGGACUGGCACCAUCUUCUGGUUCUGCCCGGUCCGUCCUCUGGACAUGUCGACUUCCCUCUUGGGAAGCAUACCCUUCAGGAAAGGUUAACCAGCCAAGGUGUACAGCCGUGGGGAGCCGGGGUUCUGAGAAAAGCGGGGGCAGCCCCAAGUCCGGGCCAGCUCCGUCCGAGGCCCACGCAGAGGCGGGUCUGCAGCUCUGCCCCUCCACAGGCACAGGGGCCAGCGGGGUUCCGGCCAGACGGGGCCUGAGAGGCCGGCGGGUCCAGACCCUUCGUUUUCCAGCAGAGCCUCAGACACCGAGAGGGAUCCCGAAGGCAGUGCCUGGAUUCCCCAGACUGGAAGGCGGCAGAGCGGAUUCCGAGGCGCACACGCGGGGGAUCCCUGGGCUGCAGCUGCCUCUGCACGGCCUCCGGAGAGAACCGCCAGCGCCGUCACGGUCCUCGAGGAACCCGGGGCGCCGGGAGCAGAGGAGACCCGCAGGCCCCGAGCCUGGUGCUGGCAGACCCCGGGUCCCCAGGCGUCUCCGGGCCGGACGUCCCCAGCAAAGCCCCCUCCAGGGUGACGGUGCUCCUGCUCUCGGUGAAGUAUCACCUUUCCCCUCUGGGAUAGCUUGUACCUCCCCCUCACCCGCCUGAAGAGCUCAGGUGGGCUUGUACAACGUCCCGCACUCGGGAUCGGUCUGAUACGUCCUGGAUCCUGGUGGAACUGCUUGGCAAGAACAGCUUGUAGAGCAUCUGAGGACUUCCUGCCCCAGGGCCAGUGUGACCCCGGUGGGAGGGCGAGCAGCGGCCGUUCCCUUCCGGCAAAGGCGCAAACUGCCCCUGAUAAGCAGACGUCAUCUGGGAGGUGGCUGGAAUGAAGACAGCAUGUUAAGUCCGCAUUAGCAGGACUGUUGAUCGAGGAGGGCGGCCCACUGACUUUUGGAUCUAAACACUGAAAAUUAAAAUGUGAAUACACGGGUAGGCAAGCACGGAGAAUGGCCGACGGACAGCAACAGAUUCUCCCUCAAUAGCUUUGCAUGGGGUUGCUGCUGAUUUUUAUUUUCUGCUUCCUUAUUUGCCUUUUGUAUUUUUGAAAUAUUUUGAAAUAUUUUCAAAAGUUUCCAGGAAGGAAGAGAGCAGCAGCAGGCGGGUAAGGAGAAGCCCUGGUCCCUCCUUGGAGGCCACCGGUGUGGGGCAGGCGUGAUGGAGGGCCCUGGCCGCCACUGUGCGGGCAUCUUCAGCCAGCGUGGCACCGUCUGCAUCUACAGCCAGCAUCACACCCGCCACCCGGGUGGCUUCGCCGGCCUUGACAGAAGCUCUUUCCUGCAUCCCCUGGUCCCCACAGGCUAGAGGCACGUGUGCUAUUCCUGCCCCCAGUGCUGGCCUCCCUUAUCAGUUCCUUGUAGGAAACCCUCCCGGUGACCAGGAGUCCAGUCAGAGGAGACUUUCCAGGAGGGACACUGGCUGACACCCACCUGCACCGCCCAGCCCCUCUGUAGUGCCCACAGCUCCCCCAGAGGCAGCACACAGAGUCCUCCGGCUCGGGGGAGCAGUGCCCUCCAGGGUCUGGAAGAGGUGGGUGCUCAAGACAUCCAGGGACUAGAUGGGGACAGAGCGGGUGGACAUUCUGUGGACGGAGGCUCAGCCCAGCACUGACUCACUGAGACACUAGAGACCCCCAGGGAGCUCAUUACAGCCAGAGACACACGGACGAGCAGCCUGGGGCCCAGCAGAGCAGGGCGGGGAAGGCCGCAGUUGCCCCUCAGCAUCUGUGUCUCUGCCUGUGCCGUCCCCCUGGGGUGGGCCGAGGAGGGAGAGCCCGAACCCCAGCCCCUGGGCUUCCAGGGCAGCUCUGUCUUCUUUGCCUUCUUCUCUCCAAUUUGGAGCUGCCCACCAGCAGGUGCACCCCUCCAGCCCCUGCUUGUUACUGUCCUGGAAAGAGAGAUUCCUUUGCACCCCAGGGACUAUCAAACUGGGUGAGGGAGCAGGUGGACCAUUGACUUCCAGUUAAAGAUGUUUGGAGAUGAAGCUUCUCUGGCUUGGGUGACAGGAGCCCACGGGCCUCUGACAGUUCGGUCCCCAAAGCCUGCCGACGUGAGCCCUAGCGUGUGCGAGUGCACCGGGAGGUGUGGGCUCGCCUGCUCCCCGGCUUGGUGACACUUUCCUGUGCACCUGCUGAAUGUCACCGGUCAGCCAUGGACACAGGCCUUGCCAUUUCUAGAGGCAGCAAGCUGGAGGGGAUGCACACAGCACCCCGGCUUUCUCGCCUGGAGCGGCCCCCAGCUGUCGGCCACCCCAAACAGACAUCACACAUGAUUGUCAUGAUGGCCCAUCAGGCAUCGUGUCAGAAAAACCGACACUGUUGAACAAUUAGGAAUUCCAGCUCAGGACAGCCAUACUUUAAGGUUGAAAAUAAAAACUCUUCUUUGUCUUAA